rnacentral:lncRNA from 1 species
CUAAGCCAGCUGAGUAAGCAAUAACCAAAUCGAGAGCAGCUUAAAAGAAACAAAAACUGGGCGGUGGCCGAAAGGAAAACAAUCUGAUCUCCUUAAUCAAUAAGGCCGAGAGAGUUGAGAAGAAAAGUUGUCUUCCUUUCUUGCUUUCUUCCUAAAGCAGACUCGAGUGAGUGAGACGGAGUGUGAGGGAAAAGAAAGUGUAAGCUUCACCAUCAGCUAACUAUACGAACGAAAACAGAAGGGAGGUCGAGUGAGGAGUUGUGAUAGCAAACUUGAGCAGUCUGCAUUAUCGAUUUUUUAAGAGAAAAGAGGUAAGAAUCUACCAUAACCUUCUGCUUAUUUGGCACAAAUGAGUAUAUAUACAAGCUGCAUGUUAGUUUUAGCAAGGCACAAUGAGUUUUAACCGAGGAGAAAUCUGAUAAAGGAGAAAAAAUGGGAACUGGACAGAAAUGGAGGGAACCGAGAGUUGUUGUUGAGUUCCAGCCCAUAAAUAAAGAAAAUUUUCUGUAAUAACCUCGUAGUUAUUCAGUACACUUGAAUAUUAAGGUUGCAUGUUGGAUUGUAGCUAAGAAAAACUAAGUUUGGUUGAAGGAAAUAGUUGGAAGUUUCUGCUAUGCUGGCCGAAGGAGGAAAGAUAGAAAUGUCCAGGUUUCUUUAUAUAUUUUGGUUCUAAACUCCUACGUUGAGGCUUAGUUCAUUGCAUAAUAUUUUAGUUUUGGCAUGCAUGUUAGAUUUCGGUAUGAAAUGAAGUAGUUAAUGGAGGAAUUUCUUGCUAAAAGGUUGAUUGCUGUCCGAAGCUUUCUAUCAAGGCCGAGAGAGGGAGAGAGUUAAACCUUUGAUAAGUUUUUCCUUCAAACUCCACUCUGUAAACUUUCACAUCUGAUAUCUAAAGUUACUCUGUAGUUUAAUACUUGUAUUUGGCAUGAUGAGCUGGAGUUAAAACUGAAGGAGUUAUGGUAAAAAUGUUGCAUAUUAAACUGCUGCACUGCUGGAAGCUUUAGUUGUCCAAUGUCUUAGCCGAUGUCAGAUUGUUGUGCGUGGCUUUUGGGUUGAAUAAUUUGUUGAAACUAGAUGCUAAUUGCUUUGGUUUAUGCUGGAUUGAAUGUACCUUAAGUAUUUAGAGCUUUAAGCAAGUGAAAGAAUAGAGUUUUUGCUUAAAGUUUGAAGUAACGUUACUGAAAUUUUUGUGGUUGCUGUCCGAGAGAAUGAAGCAGAAUGUGCUUCUGACCGUCCCUUUUUGGCCUUGAAAACGCGAGAACUGGAUGUCAAUAUCUUCAUAGGAAAUGUAGGUCUAGGUCUUAGCUUCGAAACGCUAUAAAAUUUGCCUCAAUCCGAUGAGUGUAGCUUCAGUUGUGAUCAAAAUAUCAGAGGAUGGCAAAGCUGCCUUUCUCGUUGCUUUUCUCUUGUUUCCCGAAUGUAACUUGCUUUGAUGCUGGCCUUGACGAAACCAUAUUUUGAGCAGCAAUUCUUCUAAUUUCCAACUUUGUAAGCUUACAUAAAUGAUAGUUACGGUUGCCCUAAGAUUUAAUGACUAUAUCUAGUUCUACGAGUAGAGUUAAACUAAGGCAAAUGAGAGGAAAACUUAUGAUAGUUAUGUACAUAAAUUAACUUUUAAUCAUAAUCUUGUCUCACGAAUAUUUUAAAUACUAUAAAAUUAGAGGGACUAGUGUAGUGGAAUAAAUUGGAAGAAUAUACAAACCAGAAUCUAGUUUAAUCUAAAAAGGAAGGAAUGAAAAGUUCACUAGCCUUAAUCUUUAAAUUUGGGUUGAAAAUAGUUUAACCUUAGUUUAAACACCUUACAAGACCUUAAAUUUGGAAUACCUGUAUACCUCCCUUGUUUGAGUUGAUAAAAUUGAUAAAUCUCGAAGAGAAAUGUAAGAAAGAAUUGCUGGAAUUUUACAUCUUGUUUAAUAAGCUAAGGAACUUGGUUUCUAGUGAUUUAAACCUUAAGUUGGUGAGAUUUUAACGCUUAAAACUUCCCUCCUUACACUUUAGAACCUUAGAACUUAUGUUUGUGGUUGUACACAAAAUUCCUAAUCUUAAAAGUGUGAAUCCAAUGGGAGUUUUAAGAGUACUAGAUUGCUUGGAUUAGUUGAACUAUGUUUAGAAAAUCCUAUAACUCUAAAUAAACUUAUUAGAAUACAAUUAAAGAAUACAUGAAUGAUUGUAGUUGUAUUUUACCUUAGGAAUUGAGAGUGAUCAAGGGUUUAACCCAGAAAGUGAAACUUAAUCGACCUUUAACGGUGAGUGUUUUCCAAAUUUAUGUGUUUAACUAUUUAUGUGUAUCUAAGUAAAAUUAUAUGACAAACGUGCUUAUUAUGAAUUAUUACUAAAUGAUUCCUUGUGAAGUGUAUCUCAAUUGUCCCUCGCCUUCUAAGUCGAGAGUGUACUUUAUCGUACUCGACUUAGUUGAGCUUGAAGGUCGAUAAUUGACUGAAUGUUACCGUAAGUGUGCAUGAAUGUAAGCUGUAUGUGUACCUCGCCGCAUUGGCUGAAUUGGGCUCCAAAACCCUCUGUUCAACGGACUAUUCGAACCAGCAAAGGGCUUGGUCUGGUAGGACGGUAGCUUUGGGUAAAUGUUUAGGUAUACUCGAGUAUUACCAUGAGGUUGGGUGAUUAUUGAACUGAUUAUUGAAUGUAGGGGAUUGUUUAUUGUUUUGGAGGACAUAAGGAGGUGACUCGGCAGAAUGUGCAAUGAUAUUGAAAUGAAUGUACAAUGACAGUGAAAUGAGUGUCUUUUGACACUGAAAUGAAUGCUCAAUGACAUUGAAGUGGCUCCAAUGCGAGCACCGUAUCCUUUUAAAAGUGAUUGUUUAGUGAAGUGUUUCCUCAAUUGCUUAAUGAAAGUGAUUGUACUGAUAUUUAAGUGUUUAUUAAAUGUUACUUGCUCGACAAACCUCGCUGAACUUUACCUUAGCCUUUUAGUUUUUUUUUCCUUACAGGAGUUGGAGAUUGAAGAGUGAUUAGAUUGAACUAGAAAGUUAUUUUUGGGAAGAUCCGUUACUCUGUGUAUAUAGUGUAGUCAUGGUUUCUUUUGUAUUUUGAGACGGUUGAAUCUUUUGUUUGAGUUGGUGUGAUAUUAAGAAUUUAGAACAUGUAUUUUGUUUCUUUUAUUAGACAAAUUUAUGUUUCAAACUGAUUGGAGUUGUACUUAAGAGUGAAUGUUCAGUUGUCCAAUGACAGUGUUAUCUCUGAAGUUAAUGUAAAUGAGUGAGCCUUGGCGAGAGCCAGACGGGCGGUCCGCUAUCUUCUAGGGUAUGCCUUAGAAGAGGGUGGGGCCGUCAGAUUAGAAGUGCUAAUAAUAAGUUAGUAAAUCAUAAGUUAAAAUACAAGUACAAGAGAGUUAAGGAAAAUAGACUUGAAGCGACGUGCACCGUUUGUUACCGAUUGAGUACACUACUUGACCACCACUUUCUUACCCUAAUCUCCUUGUUUUUAUUUCAUUUAAUUUCCCCUAAAUUACUCUUAAGUCAGCCACCAUUUUUGACUAAAGAAAGGUGAGAAAAGAAAAAAAAAAGAAAGAAAAGCAAGGGUACCAAGUGUUGGCAAUCCAAAGGAUUGGUUGACCAAGACCAUUUCUUCCUUCUUGGCCAAUUUUCCUUCAUUUUCCUCUUGUGUUGGCCGAAUUUUGAGAGAGAAAAAAAGAGAGAGAAACCUUCCAUUUUCACCUUGAUCUUGCUUUGUUUGAGUUGAAUCACAAAAACUAAACCGAUUAAACUUGCAUCAAGGGUGUUAGGAAGUUUGGUGUGGUGAAAGUUUUGGAAGAAAUAACUUGGUUCCUCACUUUCAAGAAGCUUUUGUAAGGUAUAAGUCUAAAACUUCCUUUAUUUUUCUUAAUCUUGCUAAAUAUGCUAUAGAAGCUUUGGAUCUUGGAAUAUUAUGGAUGAUUUUCAAGUUUUGGGUUGUUUAUCGAAAAUUUCAGUUAGGGUUUUAUAUAUUUUUUUUAGCUUUGAUUAUGUUGUUUAACUAGCAAAUGUUGGUAUUGAGCUUGGAUAUGAAAUUUGUGAGGUGAUUAAUGGCAUGAUUGUGACUUUUUAGCAUUAAAAGAUGAAUUUCUAGCUUUGAUGAAAAAAUUCCAGCUUUGGUAGUGGUUGAUUAUUUGCUAGAAAUGAGUUAUAUUUGGAUGUUUUUAGCCUAGAUAAAGAGCUAUCUUGAUAUAUUUAUUGGUGGUGUUUCAAUUGGGUUGAUUUGAGGAAAAACAUGAAGCCUUAAAUGGGUGAAAAAUUGGACAAAUACAAAGGGUAUGCUGCCCAAAUUUUCAUUUGAGAGAUAAGUGAGUGAACUUGGAACUUGAGCGGUGAUUUGUGGUUGAAUUGAACUUAGAUUGCCUAGGGUAUUCAAGUUUCCUUUAGUAGAGGUAUAUAAGCUGAAUUUUUGCCAAAACUCAUAUACUUUUAAAGGUGAAAGCAGCGACCACUUUAAAAACGAUUUCCUAGGUUUUUUAUCACCAAGUCGCGAACUUAUAAGUUUUAAAUGCUUCUUUAUCGAAAUCAAAAAAGCAGGUUUGAAUUUUCUACUACUUAAACGAGUUUUAUUUACUUGAUUUUCUCCAAGUGAAACCCCUAUAUUUUGAACCCUAAUUGAUUGCAAACUGUUAAAUGGUAUUUUAUCGUAGAUUUGGACUCUAGCCAGGGAGUUGAACUUGAGCGUGGUUUUGAAAAGCAAUAACUCAUUGGUGAGUGUUUUCCAAUGCAUGAUUGAACUUGAUCUUUGAAUGAAAUGAUUUGCUAAUGCGAUUGAAUAAUACUUGACUUGUUUGGAUGAGACGAUGGUGUACUUUAUCGCACUCGUCCUCCCCUUCUUGAAUGAUCUCAUACUUGCUUGAGCUUGAUUGACCUGUACUUGUAUUGGUGCUUGUACUUGACUUAUAAGUGUUGAGCGAUAGCAUGUACCACACUCAAUCUGAGUGGGAGAUGCCUCUCAUCCCGUCUCACUACUUUUAUUAUCACCCUGUUAGUUAGUCAGUCAAAUCAAGCCAGUAAGGGCUUGAUCGAGGAGACUGGCGAAUCAUGGGUAUUGUUUAUUGUAUAAUCCUUUGGAUAUGGUCCACUGGAUUCGGUAUACUCGAGCAUUAUCAUCACUCUUACUUUGGAGUUCGAGCCCGGUAAGGGGAUUGAUUGGUGGAUGGAAUUGGUGUAAAGUGGAGAUCUACGGUCAUGGUUUUACUUCUUUAAACAUUGACGGAGUGUCAACAAGUUUAGAUCAAGUAAGGCAACGGGAAUUUGGCUCUUGAGAGCCAUCUGUAUCCUUAUACUUGGAAAUAAUUGUUACUUGUAGUGUUAUUAUUUUUUUUUAUGAACUUUUACACUUGCUCAUUUUGAGAUUUCAAGUUUUACAUAUGAUCAACUUGCUACUUGGAUCUGCAUGAAGUUUUGGAACCUCACUGAGUUUUGACUCACUCUAUUAGUUUUUGUUUUCCUAACAGGGGGUUACGAGCAUAAGCGUGAAGUUGGAAAGGCUAGUUUUGUCUAGACUUUUAACUUUUGUAAUUCUACUAGCGCUAGUGUUCGAUUAGGGUUAGAAGUGCAACUAGAACUUGAAUCUUUUGUUAUAUUCGGAUAUGUAUGAAUCGUUGAGAUUGCAAUGAAUGUAAAUGUACUUUCUAAACUUAGGAACUAUAGUCUCCUUUACUUUUGAAGUUGCAACUUAUUUUUUUGACAUGAGUGAGUGAGUCCUGGCGAGAGUUGGACAAACGGUCUGCUAAACCUUGGGGUACGCCCUAGGGGGAGGUGGGGUUGUCACACAAGUAAUGACUCCUGCUUUCUCCAAUACGAUGACCAUGUUGUGUGAGUAAAUUCUAAAGUUGGUUAGCAAUUGCAUGUCUUUCCUAAGUCUAACUGAACAAAAGAAAAAAAAAGGAGUACACAAUACAGAGUGUUAAGGGUUUGUUAGAAUGUAGCGAUGUCUUAAUUAGUAACAUCCCAUAAGGGUAACCAAAUAAAAUAUUAAAAUUUGGUUGUACAUGAAAAACAAGAUCUAAUUCUAAAAAAUUUUGGCAAAUUGCAAGUCGCCAUGUAUUAAAGUAUAGGGUUCUAUACCCUAACUAAGAUUUAUUUUUUUUUUCAAUUUGUUUUUAUUGCACAGUAGGGUUUUCUGGAAUAAUGGUUAUAUAGUUUGAUUAAGAGUUUAAUUUGGACAAAGCAAUUAACAAACUAAUAAGAGAAUGUUCAUGGUGGAAGAUCUUCUAUAGGUGGAAUUUCCUUGAGAUUUGCAUGUUAAUCCUUUCCCGACUAUACUUUCUUGGAUAAUUUUUUUAUCAUCUCUAGAACUAUGCGCAUGCCUUUUUGUAAGGAAUGCUAACUGAGUAGAACAAAGUACAAAGUAAGAAAUAACGUGAAAGAAUUUCCAUUCGAGUACAUCUCAUCAUUAAAACUUAAAGUUUUUAAAUAAGGUAUGUAUUUACAUUGGGUCAAACAUUCUAACCAAUCUUUGGAUUCACUAUCUAUAAAUAUUUAAAAGUUUUAAAUUAAAUGAAUUAAUUACUUUGUAAUGCCGAAUAAUAGUGAAGUUGCCAUGCACUUAUCCAUGUAAAUCUCCUUGAAUUAGUUUUGUAAAUUGAUGAAAAAAGGGUUGAGGAUGUCAUUGCCUUGUUGUAGUUGUUCAACAAUCUAUAAGCUCUGUAUGAAAAGAGAGUGAGAUCUAAUUAAAAUAUAAUCUCUGCAAAAAUUUCCGAAAGCUUAUCAAUUAUUAUCCGUCCAACAUAAUAUCAUAUUAUCGUCGAAAAAAUUGCAUGUAUGCAUGAUGCCCGCUAUAUCUGUGAGACAAUUUAGUUGUUGAAAUAAAUUCUUUGAAAAUAAUUGUGUAUUUGAUACCUCCACAGGUUAUAUUUAAUCAUGCCAUUAUGGAAAUAAUGGAAAGAAAGGAAUGAAAAGAUACAUAAACAAAUUCUUAGACAAUUGGGUGGCUUGUGCAACAAAAAAAGUGAAAAAUUAAAAAUAACUCAUUCUACAAGUUCAAUUACUUUGUCACGCCGACUUCUAACAUGGUUCUCCUUUUGGCACAAAAUAUGUUUACCAUUGAUUUUGAACUUUCAAAUUGCUUGUGAGGACCCAAAAUUUUUCAUAUUUUAUAAUUAUUUUGGUUCAUUUUCUUUCAUGCAUUUUCGUACUUUACUUUAUUACCUUAUUUCCUAGAUAAUUUUAUAAGUGAAUAUAGUUUUUAAAUUAUUUUCUUAGUAUAAGUUAGUUCAUGUUAAGUUUAAAGUAUAUUAUGGAUGUGGGACCCGCUAAUGCGAUAACUGCGAUAUAUUUUUGACAAUUAGGUGAAUUUUCAUAAAGGGAUAUUGUUUUACAAGAUAUUAGGAGAUAAUUAGAGGUUAACUAGAUAGAUCAGCUUUGGAGGAUAAGAAGAUGAGAAUAAACCCUAGGAAGGCCAAGUAUCAUGAAACGCUUGGACGUUGGACUUUGACCAAAUUCUUCCUAACUUUACUAAAACUAAAAUUUGACCAAAAUCUUCUCAUUUCUUUGCCUUGCUUGGCCUGCCACGAAGAGGAAAAAGAGAGAAAGAAAGCUUCAACUUCAACCUCUAUUCUUUGCUUGAAUCUUGAGAUUUCACCGAUAAUCUUGCAAAAUACUCUAUCGAAGUUGUUCUCUAAGGAAACUUAAGGGUUUUUGUGGAGUGAUUUGGGAAAAUAAAGGUGUUGGUAACAUCUUUGCAUAAGGUUUAAGGUAUUUAUAGCAAGAAACUCUCUCUACUUCAAGUAAUUGUAAAUUAGUGGCCUAUAGUUGCAAUUUUGGUAGUUUUAUGCAAUACUUCAUGGUUGGAAGUAGUGAUAUGAAAAUUUUCAGUUUUAUAGUGAAUUUUCUGCCCAUAUAUGAAGCUUAAAGGUUGGGCAUGAUUUCCUAGCUUUGCCAUGUGAAAUAUCUAGUGUUUAUGUGCUAGUUUACUUUGCCUAAAGAAAUUUUCAGCUUGGGUGCAAAAAUUUCAGAUUAGGGUUUCCAAUUUUGGUUUGAUUGUGGUUGGUUUUUGGAGCUUUCAUUUGGCUUAAAUUGAAGGGUGUUGUGACCCUAAUUAAGUGCGUUUAAUAACUUUUGAUUUGUAUGUGCAAUUGUGAUUGAAUUGAGAUGUGAUUGGUGAUUAAUUGUAGGAUGAAAAAGUAAAGGAAUUUAAGGGGAAGUGCUGCCCAAUUUUUGGGACUACUUGAUUCCUUCAAGUUUGGGUUGAUUUGGUGAUAAACUUGCUUAAGAUGCUUGGUAUAUCUAUCAGCUUUACUUAGGUGUUGAAUUUUGAUUGAAAUGGAAGAAUUUGCAUUGGUAUUUUCCUCUAAGUUGUUAGCUAAAAUUUCCAUUUAUUGGUCAAGUGAUAGCGAAGUCUAUUACCUUGUUGUUUUCUAACCUUUUCAUGAUUGGUUUUGGCCAAAACCUGUUCCAAACAGUGGUUAAGUCUUUUGUGUUUGAAUUUGAGUGAAAACUAUAUAGAUUAGGGGGUGAAAACCUCAUGAUUUCACUUGUGUCAUGGCUGCGAAAAUUCUGGUUUAAAAGGCAAAAUUGCACCUUUUUACCUUCGAGCCUUAAAGUCUUUAGUUUGGAAGUCUUUAUGACCAACUGUUACUUACUUUCACUCCCAAGCCACAUUUUGCUUUGCAUUAGUAGUUCGUUGGAUAGGCAUACGAUUCGUAAUCGAAUCUCAAUUAUUUUUUUUGUUGUUCUAGGACGUGCCAGCGAUUAAAGCCAUACUUUGGGAGGAAAUUUUUAAAGUUGUUUGCUUGAUUGGUGAGUGUACCACUCCCUUGAUUUGUUGCUUAAUUGGUUUACUUGUACUUGAAAUUUGUGUCUUGAAUGACUGUGAACUCUGUUUAUUCUGAAUGAGAUGAGGGUGUACUUUAUCACACUCGUUCUCUUGCCUGUGUGACUGUUUACUGUAUAAAUUGAAAUAUGUUACUGUGCUUGAUCUGAUGUCGUUUGGAGGUGUAUCCAAUAACCUUCCUGUUAAACCUGAACUCAACCUCAUGGGGAGUUAAUUGAAUCGAGCCGACAAGGGUUUGGUCGAGAAAAAUUGACAAACCAUUAGGGACUAUUCCUGGGGAAUUUUUGGGUAUUGGAGACUCUGAAUUUCCGGUAUACUCGAGUAUUACCAUCCACUGUUACUGUUGAGGCGCUUGGUCCCAGUAAGGGGUAUGUUUGGUGGACGAAAUUCGGUGUAAAAUAGUGCUCUACUGGACUGAUUAUUUUACUCGAAAGUUGAUGGAGUGUCAACUACUACUUGAUCAAGUUCUGGUGAAACAAUGGGAAUUUGACUCCUGAGAGCCACAUGUAUCCUUUUAUUGAAUUACUGUGUUUAACUGAGCUAUUGUUCAUUUUGUAUUUGGUGGGUAUAUGUGACUGAUUAAAAGUGAAGUGCCAUGAUUCUUAACUGCAUGUAUUUUUGGUACCACAUUAAGCAUAAGCUCACCCCAUUCCCAUUAUCUUUGUUUUUCUUACAGAUGACAAACUUUGAAACCAUAAUUUUGGAAGAAAGGGUCGAGUCAGUGUAGACAUUCUUUUAUUUACGCUCCUCUAUAAUAGAAAACCCUAAUUGUAUUUUGAUCAAGUAUCAUAUUUUGAUUUGUAAAGUUUUCAAUGUAUGUAUAUAUAUAAGUGUUUAUUCAUGCGUUAUCCGUGUGUUUUUUUGAGAAUGUACGUUCUCUGGGUUGGCAUGAACUAUACUUGUAUUCCGUUGGAAAUCGGAUGAGCGCGGAGCUUGAACAACGAAAGAAAAAUUUCUGACAGGAAAAUCCUUCAGGGAAUCCGGCCGUAUAUCCAGCCAGUUCUUGGCCGGAUACUUGGCCGGAUUGGCAGGGGAGAAAGAAAAAAAUUGGUUUGGUUCAUUGCCUUGAAUCCGGCCUGAUAUUCGGCCAACUGUUGGCCGAAUCCUAACGUGGAGUUUGUUCUUUUCGCUUUUCGUUGAAGCGUUUAACCAACAUUCUAUUGUAUCAUUUAAUUUAACUAAUUCAGUUUCCGACAAUUCGUUUUCUCGAAGUUCGUUUGCUCGUCUUGUAGGGUUUACGUAUGUUUCGGGUUAGUAGUCUUGGCGAGAACUGGGCAGGCGGUCCGCCGAACCCUUUGGUUAGCCUUAGGGGGAGGUGGGGCUGUCACAGGUAGUAUCAGAGCCGCUUCGCGUGUGUAUGUGCGGAGUGAGUUUGGAUCAAGUGGUGUUAUGGUCCUGAUAUCGUGAAUGAAUUAUAGGGUUAAGUGCUCUUUUGAGCGUAAGUUAUAAAUUAUGAAGUGUUAUAGGUUUCAAACCUUUAUCAUGGUACUUGAGGUACAUAGAUAUGUAUAUCGGGUAGGAAUGUUAAACUUGGUUGAUUUGUACUUGGGAGCGUACGGCCUGAGUCGUAAAUUCUUCUAGUUUUGGAUUCUUGUACUUGAGUACUAAAUACUUUUCCGAAGGGAAUAUUUGUUAAUUCAGAAGGCAUAUAAUCUAGUGUAUUAUGAUGUGAAUUGAAGUCAUAAGUGAAUUUGAGAUAAGUUAUAAUGGCAAAGGUCAGAGCACGGCGAAUUCUUGUAUUGGAUUUGGCAUUUACUCGAUUGAGGAGAUUGGAACGAGGAAUGCUAUCUCGAAUUUGCCCAAUAAAAGUUUGGCUAGGGUUUUGACAGAUUGUGGUGAGAUUUGGACUUUAAUAGUUGCUGUGAAUGUUUAAAGUGUUAGCUUUGCAAACCUAUUUCAUUUUGGUAGUGUGGCUCACUAGUAAGUGUGUAUUAAAUUUAGUAGACAUGAACGGAUGUUAUAUACCAAGGAAUAUAUGCCUAGAAGUGUUAAGAGUGAGUUAGAGGAACAUCGCAUAGAUGAGUGAUUAGAAACUAAAAAAAAAAGGUUUGCCUACUUGUUUUCAAGGUGUUGGUAGAUAUAAUCAUUAGAAACUCCUUUUGUUCUUUAAUCUUGCGAUUAAGUUGUUGAAUAACUUGAUUUUGAUUAAUAUUAUGGAAAUUCUUGUGAUUUUAGAGUUGACGAUGAUAAAUGUCAGUUUGUGAUAAGUUUGAUAUAGGUUGUCCAAUCAUAUUGGAGGGUGGUUGAGCUUUGAUAUGCAUGUUUGCAACUUCAAUAAGUGAUUUUUUUACUUGAAUUUAGAACUUUCAGCUUUGAUGUCUUUCCGUUAAUCUCUAUUUGUGUGAAUAUUGAAGGGCUUUGAUAGAUGAGAAUACGGAUUGUAAUAUCCUAUGACUUGUGGCUUUGAUUGUGCUAGGAUUGCUGUGGUUUACACUUUGAUUUUCAAUGGGGAAACGGACCGAAAAUAGCGGGGUGCAACCGAAACUUUUGUAUCUAGGGUUAAGUUAACAAGAGGUGCCUUAUGUUGUGAACGAUUUGUCCAUAUACCGUGGAUAAGGUAAGAACUCGUAAGAGUAGUAACCACAUUUCAAACCUGCUUUUCAUCGAGAUUGAAGUUGUGUCACUUUCAUCUUUUGAUAUCUUCACUGACUUACUGAUUUUCUUAGCAUAGUGUUUUAGCCAUUGCAUUAGUAAGAUAUUCUCUCUAGAUAGCUUCUGGUAGUGAGCAGAAACUCUUGAGAAGUAGAAGGAAAUACUAUAGAAUCAAGUUUCUGAGCAAAGAAGAGAAUUUCGAGGAUGAAAUUCUUUUAAGGGGAAGAGAGUGUGAGGACCCGAAAUUUUUCAUAUUUUAUAAUUAUUUUAGUUCAUUUUCUUUCAUGCAUUUCCGUACUUUACUUUAUUACCUUAUUUUCUAGAUAUUUUUAUAAGUGAAUAUAGUUUUUAAAUUAUUUUCUUAGUAUAAAUUAAUUCAUGUUAAGUUUAAAGUGUAUUAUGGACGUGGGACCCGCUAGUGCGGUAAGUGCGAUAUAUUUUUGACGACUAGGUGAAUUUUUCAUAAGAGAUAUUAUUUUACAAGAUACUAGAAGAUAAUUAUAGGUUAGUUAGAUAGAUUAGUUUUGGAGGAUAAGAAGAUGAGAAUAAACCCUAGGAAGGCCAAGUGUCAUGAAACCCUUGAAAGUUGGACUUUGACCAAAUUCUUCCUAAAUUUACUAAAACUAAAAUUUGACCAAAAUCUUCUCAUUUCUUUGCCUUGCUUGGCCGGCCAUGGAGAGGAAAAAGAGAGAAAGAAAGCUUCAACUUCAACCUCUAUUCUUUGCUUGAAUCUUGAGAUUUCACCGAUAAUCUUGCAAAAUACUCCAUAGAAGUUGUUCUCUAAGUAAGUUUAAGGGUUUUUGUGGAGUGAUUUGGGAAAAUAAAGGUGUUGGUAACAUCUUUGCGUAAGGUUUAAGGUAUUUAUAGCAAGAAACUCUCUCUACUUCAAGUAAUUGUAAAUUAGUGGCUUAUAGUUGCAAUUUUGAUAAUUUUAUGCAAUAUUUCAUAGUUGGAAGUAGUGAUAUGGAAUUUUCAGUUUUAUAGUGAAUUUUCUGCCCAUAUAUGAAGCUUAAAGGUUCGCCAUGAUUUCCUAACUUUGCUAUGUGAAAUAUCUUGUGUUUAUGUGCUAGUUUACUUUGCCUAAAGAAAUUGUCAACUUGGGUGCAAAAAUUUCAGAUUAGAGUUUCCAAUUUUGGUUUGAUUGUCGUUGGUUUUUGGAGCUUUCAUUUGGCUUAAAUUGAAGGGUGUUGUGAUCCUAAUUAAGUGCGUUUAAUAGCUUUUGAUUUGUAUGUGCAAUUGUGACUAAAUUGAGAUGUAAUUGGUGAUUGAUUGUAGGAUGGAAAAGUAAAGGAAUUUAAGGGGAAGUGCUGCUCAAUUUUUGGGACUACUUGAUUCCUUCAAGUUUGGGUUGAUUUGGUGAUAAACUUGCUUAAGAUGCUUGGUAUAUCUAUAAGCUUUACUUAGGUGUUGAAUUUUGAUUGAAAUGGAAGAAUUUGCAUUGGUAUUUUCCUCCAAGUUGUUAGCUGAAAUUUCUGUUUAUUAGUCAAGUGACAGCGAAGUCUAUUACCUUGUUAUUUUCUAAUCUUUUCAUAAUUAGUUUUGACCAAAACUUGUUCCAAACAGUGGUUAAGUUUUUUGUAGUUGAAUUUGAGUGAAAACUAUAUAGAUUAGGGGAUGAAAACCUCAUGAUUUCACUUGUGUCAUGGCUGCGAAAAUUCUGAUUUGAAAUGCAAAAUUGCACCUUGUUACCUUCGAGCCUUAAAGUCUUUAGUUUGAAAGUCUUUAUGACCAACUAUUACUUACUUUCACUCCCAAGCCACAUUUUGCUUUGCAUUAGUAGUUCGUUGGAUAGGUAUACAACUCGUAAUCGAGUCUCAAUUAUUUUUUUUGGUUGUUCUAAAACGUGCUGGUGAUCAAAACCAUGCUUUGGGAGGAAAUUUUUGAAGGUGUUUGCUUGAUUAGUGAGUGUACUACUCCCUUGAUUUGUUGCUUAACUGGUUUACUUGUACUUGAAAUUUGUGACUUGAAUGACUGUGAACUCUGUUUAUUCUGAAUGAGACGAGAGUGUACUUUAUCACACUCGUUCUCUUGCCUGUGUGACUAUUUACUAUAUAAACUGGAAUCUGUUACUGUGCCUAAUCUGAUGUCGUUUAGAGGUGUAUCCAACGACCUUCCUAUUAAACUUGAGCUUAAUCUCAUGGGAAGUUAAUUGAAUCGAGUCAGCAAGGGCUUGGUCGAAAAAAAUUGACAAAUCAUUAGGGACUAUUCUUGGGGAAUUUUUGGGUAUUGGAGACUCUGAAUUUUCAGUAUACUCUAUGUAAGGCCCGAAGACAACCCAAAAGGGGGGGUAAAUUAGGUUGAUUAAGAAACUAAUCAAGUUAUGGACACUUUUUGCUCAAUAUGAAAUUUAUCCUCUUUUCUAAGAAGACCACACAAUGAAUCAAUCAAUGAAUGAACAAAAUCACUUGAGAGUUGUAUAUGAUAAAAGCAAUUUAAAGAUCACACGAUAACAAUAAGUAAAUAAGAAGGGAAGAAUUGCAAACCAAUUGACUACCAAACUCCUCUUGAGCUUGUAGAUCAAUUCAAAUAAAUUUUUUCAAAUUGAUGAAAUACAACCAAUCUUAUGUACAAAGGAAGGUUCACUUUCUCCUUGCCCCAAACUCUACUCGGUUAAAUUAGGAAGUUUUACUAUCUCUCAAGACAACCCUCACAGAGUUAUACUAUUGAAGUAUUCACUCACAAAUGAAAAACUUACAACAAACUUCACACUACCAAAAUUACAAAUCUUUCUUGAAGAGUAUUUUUUCACUGAAAUUACUCUAGAUCUUUUGUAUCUUUAGUGUGCAAAAGUUGUUUGAAAAUUCUGACCAUGCUCUAUUUAUAGGAGAUUAAGAAAGUGCUUCAUUAAUGAUUCUAAUGGAUAGAAAGUAACUGAAGAGUCAACUAGCCGUUGGAAGUAUCGGACAUCCGGUAGCCUGGUUUCUUGCGUUCGACAGCAGACAUUGAGUUUAAGAGAUUUACUUCGAUUUUAUCGAACGUCCUGUGCUUGCGUCCGAAAACAGACAAUGAGUUUGAAAAAAUAUCUCAAUUCUAUCGGAUGUCCGGUAUUGUCUUUGUGAGCAUCCGACAGCUUUAGUCAAGUUUGAAGGAUCCUAUCGGACGUCUAAUGCUUGCGUCCAAUCGAGGUCAGUGAGUUAUGGGGAAUGUCUUAUUUCCUUCGGACGUCCGGUGAUGGAGUUCUUCAUGCGUCUAAAGUUGCACAAUGAUUAUCGGAUGUCCGAUCCUGUCUUCACAAGCGUCCGAUAGCUUUCAGUAACCUUUGUUUCUUUCAAUAGGAUUUGAUUUUUGAAUCUGAUCUGCUUCAUAACUGAAAGUAUAUCUUAAAGAGAUAUUAGUAUCAACCAUUUGUUUUGUAAACAUCAAAAGUUAGGAACUAAGAUCAACACUCGAGUAUUACCACCCACUGUUAUCGUUGAGGUAUUCAGUCCCGGUAAGGGGUAUGUUUAGUGGACGAAAUUCGGUGUAAAGUGGUACUUUAUUGGAUUGAUUACUUUACUUGAAAGUUGGCAGAGUGUCAACUACUACUUGAUCAAGUUCUGGUGAAACAAUAGGAAUUUGGCUCCUGAGAGCCACCUGUAUCCUUUUAUUGAAUUUCUAUGUUUAACUGAGGUGUUGUUUAUUUUGUAUCUGGUAGGUAUAUGUGACUGAUUAAAACUGAAGUGAUAUGAUUCUUAACUGCGUGUAUUUUUGGUACCUCAUUGAGCGUAAACUCAUCCCCUUCGCGUUAUCUUUGUUUUCGUUAUAGGGGACAAACUUUGAAACUAUGAUUUUGGAAGAAAGGUUCGAGUUAGUGUAGACAUUCUUUUGUUUACACUCCUCUGUAAUAGAAAACCCUAAUUGUAUUUUGAUUAAAUAUCACAUUUUGAUUUGUAAAGUUUUCAAUGUAUGUAUAUAUAUA